rnacentral:lncRNA from 1 species
CUACUUGGCAGUAUAGAAUGUUCUUUUAACUUUCCUCUUCCCAGCUCCUGAAGAGUCUCUGAGUCACCCUCACCCUCACCCCCACCCCCCAGGCAUUGCUGUAAAGGGACUCUAUUUAGCCUGGGACAUCAGGCUGUACUUUCUAAGGACUGCAGGGAAGAGGUCUGUGUUCCCUUCUUUCCAAAGAGUGCCCCCUACCUUUGUAUUUGCAAACAGGAAUCAAACUCAGUGCUGUCUGUCUGGUUUUACCAUCAGUUGGUUAUUAGAGAACAUUAUCUUCAAACCUAGUUUGGGGAAUGGUAGCCGUGCCAUCAAAAAUGACACUAGAUUAUUAUAUUUUGAAUUGCUAGUGUUAAAUCAUGCAGGACUAGGGUGUGACUCAAUGGCAGAACGUUUGCCAACUGUGAGUAAGGCUCC